rnacentral:rRNA from 1 species
UACAGAGGGUGCGAGCGUUGUCCGGAAUUACUGGGCGUAAAGCGUGCGUAGGUGGUGAGUUAAGUCUGUCGUGAAAGCCCCGGGCUCAACCUGGGAAUGGCGAUGGAUACUGGCUCGCUAGAGUGCGGUAGAGGAGAGUGGAAUUCCCGGUGUAGCAGUGAAAUGCGUAGAGAUCGGGAGGAACAUCAGUUGCGAAGGCGGCUCUCUGGACCAGCACUGACACUGAGGCACGAAAGCGUGGGGAGCAAACAGG